UUUUAGUUUGAAUACCACCACUAUAAAGAAUAACUUUUCUUAAUUCAUUCAGAUAUAUUACCUUGUUGUCUUUAGAAUGCCAUGUAUUUUAAAGGCUAAUAAUUCUUAUAUCAAAAGGUUUUUUGUUCUUUAAAUAAACUGUAGUGUGGAAGGAUGAUGGGUUGCUAGAAAUCAUAUUUGAAUAAUUACUCACUACCUUAACUUCUAACCUGAACACAAGAAUAAGCAGAGAAGAAUGACCGCUCCUUUUCUGCAUUGACUUUAUUGUGCUAAGGCAUCUUUUUUUUUUUAAUAUUCAGUGUGUUUAUCUUUUAACUCUUGCCUUGAAAUGCUCAAUCUAAAUGUCAUAAAAAAAAUAGUGGUCCAAGGGUUGGAAUCAGUGCUCUUUGAAUCUUCAUUGUCCUUUAAGUCUGAAACUGAACAUUUUAUACCUUUACAUUUGGAUGGCCACAAUUCUGACUGUAGCAAAAUUGGGUUAUUGUGCUAUAUUAUGAAAAUAAUAAGAAAGAAAUAGCUUGAAUUGCUAUUAAAGAUUUGUUCAUGGAGACAGCAGUUGAGAAAAGCUUCUGGCUUUAGAAGAAAUCUCAAGCUAUAAAGAGCCUUAGAAAUCACUGAACACCCACAGGGAGCAGGUGACCUAACCACACAACUAGUCAAUAGCAUGAGUAUAACAUGCCUUAGCUCUUUCCUUGAUGCCAAUGGGCCUCAACUUUUUGGCAAAUUUAAAUUCAAUUAUCAAUUAUUUUUAAUUGAUUCAUAAAAAACAUAAAGAAUUAUGCAUAUUAGUGGAAUAACCUGUGAUGUUUCUAUACAUAAACACAUUGUAUAAUAUUUAGAUUAGUUUAAAUGUAUCUGCUCAACAUUUAACAAUUUCUUUAUGGUGAAAGAUUCUAUAUUAAAUACAAGUGGUGAAAAUGGACUUCCUUGUCUUAUUCCUGAUUUUAGAGAAAAUACUUUCAGUUUUUCUCCAUUCAGUAUGAUGUUGGCUUUGGGUUUGUCAUAUGUAGCCUUUAUAAUACUGAGGUAAGUUUCUUCUAACCCUAGUUUCUCUAGUGUUUUUUACAUUAAUUGAUGUUGGAUUUUGUCUAAGGCCUUUUCUGCCCCCAUUGAGAUGACAUAUGGUUCUUGUCCUUAGUUCAGUUUGUAUGGUGAAUAAAAUGUAUUGAUUUGUAUAUGUUGUACCAAACUUGCAUCCCUGGAAUGAAACCCACUUAUCUUGGAAUACUGUCUUAAUGUGUUUGUGAAUGCAGUUUGCCAAUAUUUUAUUAAGGAUUUUUGCAUGUGUGCUUACCUCGGAUGUUGGUCUAUAGUUUUCUUUCCUUGCUGUGUCUUUGUCUGGUUUUGUUAUCAGGGUCAUACAGGCUUCAUAAAAUGGAUUUGGGAGUUUUUCUUCCCUUUCUUUCACAUGAAAUAAAUUGAGGGUGACUGGUAUUAGUUCUUCUUUAAAAGUCUGGUAGAACUUGGCUGAGAAUCCAUCUGCUUCCAAGCUUUUCUUUGUUGGAAGGCUUUUAAUUACUUCUUCAAGUACUUUGAUAUUGGUUUGUUUAGGUUUUUACAUGAUCCUGGUUCAGUUUGGACAGUCUAUAUGUGUCUAUAAAUUUUUCAAUGUCCUGUAUAUUUUCCAAUUUAUUGGAGUAAAUUUUCAAAAAUUUCUAAUGAUCCUUUGGACUUCAGAAAUGUCUAUGAAGAUGUCUCCUUUUUAAUAUCAAAUUUUGUUGAUUUGGGUCUUCUCUUUCUUUUGGUUAGUUUGACUAAGGAUUUGUUAAUAUUGUUUAUACUUUUAAGGAAUCAACCCUUUGUUCUAUUCCUUUUUAUUAUUAUUAUUAUUAUUUAUUCUCAAUUUUAUUUCAGACCAUGCUAUUCUGAGGAUCAUGUCUUUUUUUUUUUUUACUUAGAUUGUGUCCUAGAACAUGAUCUAUUUUUGAAAUGGUUCCACAAACUUCUGAGAAGAAGGUAAAUUCAGAUGUUUGGGGUGAAAUAGUCUGUAGAUGUUUGUUAGGUUCAUUUGAUUUAUAGUAUAAUUUAGGUUUGAAGUAUCUAUUUAUUUAAUGCCUGAAUGACCUGCCUGUAAGAGGUAUGUUGAAAUUAUGCAACAUUAUUGUGUUGGGUCUAUCUGGGAUUUAAUGUCAAGAAGUUUUUUGGUUUUGUUUGUUUUUGUUUCAAUGUAAUUAGGUACACCAAUAUUUGGGGUAUAAAUAUUUAUCAUCAUUAUAUAUUCUUGGUGGAUUGUUCCUUUUUUUAGUAUGUUAUUACUUUCUUUGUUUCUUCUGAUCAAAUUUUGCUCAAAAUCUUCUUUUUCAAAUAUGAGGAUAGCUACUCCUUGUUUUUUUAUUCAAUUUGCAUGGAAUCAUUUUUCAUCCUUUACUUUCAGCCUGUGGAUGUCUUUGCCAAUAAGAUGAGUCUCUUGCAAAUAGAAUAUAGUUAGAUCUUGUUGUUUUUAAUCCAUUCUACUAAGUUAUGUCUUUUAGUUCAGGAAUUGAGAUCAUUUACAUUCAGAUUUACUAUAUAUAAAUGUUUUUUAAAUUUUCUUCUAUUUUGAUUUGUGUGAUAUAUUCAAUUCUAUCUUAAUUUUCAUUCAAUCAAUUGCUCUUUUAGGUAGCAUCAUUCAUUUGGUAGCUUUGGGGUAUGUUUCUGAUUUCUUCUGUGAUAUAUCUUUAAGUCUUUUAUAGUGCUGACUUUUUUAUUAAUGAAAGUUUUUAUUUACCCUUUUAUAUUGAAAGAGAGCUUUGCUGGAUACAGCAAUCUUGUAUGGAAAUUGAUUUCUUUCAGAACUUGGUAUAUCUCAUUCCAGGCCCUCUUUGAUUUUAAGGUCUGAGUUGAGAAGUCAGAAGCAAGUCUUAUUGCUAUACUUCUAAAUAUGACCUAAUGUUUUUCUCUUGCAGCUUUUAAUAUUCUUUCCUUACUUACUACAUUAGCUAUUUCCAUUAUGAUGUAUCUUAGGUAGGUCCUUUUUUUUUGGUCUUGUCUAUUUGGGAUUCUAUAUGAAUUCUGUAUGUGGUUGUUCAUCUCAUUUCUAAGGUUAAGAAAAUUUUCUGCUGUUAUUUUACUAAAAAAUUCUUAAUGCUAUUACCAUGUAUCUCCAUAUUCUCUUCCCUCCCAAUGACUCUCAAACUCUCAAAUUUGGUCUCUUAAAGUGUUCUCAGAAUUCUUGCAUAUUCUGAUGAUGAUCUUUUUUCUGUCUUUAUUUUAUACUCAGUGUUCAAGUUCAUAUACUCUGUCUUCAAGGCCUAAAGUUCUAUUUUGUAUGUAAUCUAAUCAGUUGGUGACACAUUCUAUUGAAUUUUUUAUUUGAUUCAUUGUGUCUUUCAUUCCUAGGAGUUCUAAUUGAUUCCUUUUCAGUAUCUCCACAUCUAUAUUGAAAUGGUGUUUCACCUCUCAUAUUUGCUCUCUUAAUUCAUUCCUUAGAUCAUCUUUUAGAUCAUUAAACAUUUUAAUAAUCAGUUUUUUACAGUAGUCCUCUGGAGUUUCAUUCAUUUCCAGAUCUGUGGCUUCCUUUGUUUGGGAAUUAUAAAUUUGGGAAGGAGAUUUGUUUACCAGUUUUCUAAUGUGUUCAUCAGUCUUGGACUUGUUCAUCUGUUAAAAUGAAUUCCUUUCCUCUUGUAUGUGUGUGUGUCCUUCAGUGUGCAGUUAUCUUGGUACUUCUCUCUGUUUUGGCCACUUGAGUAGAUAACCAAAAGUGCAACUCGGUCAUUGGUUUAGGAUUUUGUCUCCCCAAUUCUAUGUGUUGAAGCAUUAUUGAGGCUCAAGUUCUUGAAUGGAGUGAGAUUUGCUUUCACUUCACUGAGUUGUGAGUGUAGCUCAGCAACAGGAUCUCUACUCCAUGAACUUGCAGUAUCCCAAUCACUUCCCAGCCUCUCUUAGGUAAAGGGGGAACAAGGAAUAGAAACAAUAGUAGCAACCAAUUCAAAGUUUUAAAAUAAGUCUCCUGUGCCUACUAUGACACAUGUUAACACUAAUUGCCACAAAAGAGGAUUAGUGCACUGGGCAAGGUGCCAUACACCUGUAAUCCCAGAAAUUUGAGAGGCUGAGGCAGGAGAAUCCCAAGCCAAAUGCCAGCCUCAGCAACUUGGUGAGGCACUAAGCAACUUAGAGAAACUCUAUCUCAAAAUAAAAAAUAAAAAGAGCUGGGGAUGUGCCUCAGGGGUUAAACACCACUGGGUUCUAGCCCUGGUACAAAAGAGAGAAAGAGAGAGAAAUGGUGGGUCAGCAUAUGAACAACUGCACCAACAAUAAACAGCUGUGAGCUAGAGCUAACAUUCAACAGCAGGUGUCAACUAUAUUAUUACCAUAUUAAUAAUCACAAUGACAUGAAUGGUGGGGGUAGGAAUUAUAUAAACCAAACAGUUCUAACUUCUUUUUCUUAAGGAUGGAUUUAUAAACUUCAGGAAACUUUAAGCUUCAAACAACCUGGACCUGUCUCAUUGCUGUGUCACUAUUACCUUCUUUAAAUAAUAAACAGCACAUGUACGAGACCUUGCUCAGGACCCUGAGAUCAGAGAUGUACCCCUGUGACCAAGGCCUUGGGUUGCUGAAUCUGAGCUCUUCAAGUUUCUCGCCAAGCUGGCAGCUGGUGUACCUGGAACCUAAGCUGGUUACUGUAGCUCUCAGCUGCCUGCCUCACAGUGUAGGGUAUGCAGACUGGGAGUUCCGACAGCUGGAAUUUUGUCUGGACUGACAAGGUCAAUGCACUCUCAGAGUGGGUCUGAUGCAGAGUUCCCAAUGGGAAGUUCCAGAAGCUCCUUUUGAGCUUUAUUGGAAGAUAUUCAAGAUUAGAUCCAUACCCCCUGUUCCUAGGCAUUUGAGGAUCUCUGCUCAAUGCUUAGAUCUCAAGGAUAUCCUGAUAAUUCCACUGCUCCUGCAGGUCUCUCAUAUUCCACCCCAUGGAUGUAAAUUUUCCACCAUCGAACCUGAAGUGCAGAUGUGCCCGUCUGCCCACUUUCUGGCCUCUUCCCAGCUGUUUGCAUGGGCUGCCAGCAACAAAGGGAACUCAAGCCUGUCUCCCAUUGGAAUCCCCAGCCUGGACCUCCCCCAGCACAGUCUUGUCUGUGCCACUUCAGUCACACUCGUCCUGCUCAAUCUGGAUCCCUGUCAACUGGGACAGGAUGGCAACACCUUUUACGAACUCCUGAACUCCUGUCUGCACACUGCCACAAGGCCAAUUGCAGAUGGUAUCUGCUGCAACUCUCCACUGGACAACCAAGAGAUUCUGAUCACUUUUACAUUGUAAACUUGCAACAGUGGCUCUGGGUCAGUUAUGAUCAGCCUCCCUUUCUGCUCCAAACCAAAUUUAUUCACAAAUUUGUUUUCCUCUCUUUCUGCCUGUGUCACCCCAUACCUCUGCCAUGAAUGGCAGUACUAUCACUGCCAGCAAAGAUGACAUAUCUAAUGUACUAUUUCUUAUUCUAUGUUCAAAGCUUUUUAAUUUCUGCAUCUCUAUGAUUAUUUUACUGUUCAAUGCUGAAUUUCAGUGAAUUCCCUCUGCCACCACCUCUCUAAGAAGCAAUGUUGCUGCUGCGUGAAUCUCAAGCUGAGGAGAGUGCUGGAGAGUGUGCCUUCAUCUAAUCUGCCAUCUGCCAAUUCCCUGAAUGCUAUUUUAUAUGUGCUCUUGGAUUCAGUUAGCUAGUAUUUUGUCAAGGAUCUUUGCAUCUAGGUUCACUAAGGUCUGUAGUUUUGAUGUGUCCUUAUCUGCUUUGGGUAUAUGAGUAAUGCAGAUCUUAUAAAAUAUGUUGGGAAGAAUUCCUUCUUAUUAUUCUUCUCCUUUUUUAUUUUUUGUAAAUUAUUUAAGGAUAAUUGGUAUUCUUCUUUAAAUUUUUGAUAGAAUUCAGCCAUGCAGCCAUCUGGUCCUCAGCUUUUCUUUGAUGGGAGAAUUUUCAUUACUGAUUCAAUCUCAGUUAUGAUUUGUUCAGGUUUUCUAUUCUUUUAUGUUUUAAUUUUGGUAAGGUAUAUGUGUCCAGGAAUUUUUUCAUUUCUUCUAAGCUAUCAAAUUUGUUAGCAUAUAGUUGUUUAUAAUAAUUCCUAACAAUUCUUUAAAUUUUGUGGUGUCUGCUAUAAUGACUCAUUUUUCAUUUCUGAUUUUAUUUAUUUGGGUCUUCUCUCAACUUUUCCUUCUUUUCACUAAUUUUGGGUUUGAUUUGUCCUAGUUAUUCUAGUUGAGAUGCAGUGGUUAAAUUGUUUAUUUGAGCUCUUUCUGCUUUUCUGAUGUAGGUUUUGAUUGCUCUAAAUGUCCCUCAAUACAACUUUAGCUGUGUCCUAUAAGAUUUUUUUUAAUGUGGUUUCUCCAUUUUUAUUUUAUUAUAUUGAGAAAAAAUUUAAAUGUCCUUCCUGAUUUCUUUCAUGAUCCACUGGUGGUUCAAAAGAAAGUUGUUCCAUUUCCAUACAUUUUUAUAAUUAUUAAACAUUUUCUAUAAUAGAUUUUUACCAAAGUUAUUUUCUAGUUAUCAAAGUGUGGCUACUCCCGCUUUCUUCCCAAUUCCAUUUGCAUGGACUGUCUUAUUCAUUCUCAGUCCAUGCAUGUCCUUAGAGGUGAAAUGAUUUCCUUGUAAGCAACACAUGUAGUUGGGUCUUGCUUCUUUUUAUACAUUUAAUCACUCUACAUCUUUCAAUUGGAACAUUUAAUCUUUUUACUUUUAAACAGAAAUGUUUAAUCCAUUUACUUUUAUACUAAACAUGUUAUUGAGUGUAAAAAAAUCACAUGAAAAACAAAUCUCACAAAGUAUAGUAGUUCAAACAAUAAAAACAUUACUUGACCUUGACUGUAUAAUUCAAUGCCAGGUGAGUUGAUAGAUGGGAAAGAGGGCACUGAAUGGUUAAUGGGGGUGUCCUGUACUCUGUAUAACUAUUUAGUGACCUGGUUGAUGGAUCCUUUGUUUCUUCAUCAUCCUUGCUUUAAAGUUGUCCUAUAAAGGGUCAUGCAUGGGAGGUUCUUCUCAGCCAGGCCUGUUGCUGUUUGUAAGAUCCAAUUUAAAAAAAUGCAUAAAGUCAAUUAAUUUCCCUUGCUUCAUUUCUGAGUUUGAUUAUUUGGGGCUUUUCUCUCUUUUUUUCCUUGGAUGAUCUUCUCGGCAAUUUACUUCUUUUAAUUGUGCUUUCAAAGAAUUAGUGUUGGAACUUAUAUUCUUCACUCUUCAUAAUUCAAUGUAAGAAAAGUAUUAAGGAUUUAAGGAGGGUUUGCUGUCCUUUUUUUCUAAACUUCAGAAUUCAUUGUUGUUGUUUGUGAGGGGCAAUCUACCACUGAACUACAUACUCAGUCUCUCUCCCCUGUCCUCUACCUUUUGUUUUCUAUAAAUUGCCCCGGCUGGUCUCAAAUUGUGAUCUUUCUGCCUCAGCUUCCUGAGUCACUGGGAUUACAGGAUUGCCCCACCCCACCACAGUGUCUGGCAAUCUGGUAUUAAUUAUAUUUUAAUUGUGAAUAUGUAGUUAGUAACUGUUAAUGUAUUAAUGGUUAUUUUUCAUUGUGAAACUCUAAUAAAAAGGUAUGCGUAUUGUUCAUAGAGACAAAAGAAAAAGACUAAACAGCUGUUAUUGAAGCAUGUAUAUUUUCAGCAUUUUACACAUACUGUUUAUCCUCCUAAACCUUCUCAUAUCUCAUAUUUAUUCUUUUUCCCAUUAUUACCAUUAUUAACUCUUAUAGGAAUCAGAGUGUUAAAAUGAUCCAAGGGAGAAAGUAAAAUAAUCAUAAAGCAAGUCCUUGGGUUUGAAAAUAGGAACACGGGAGAGAAAUGGAAAUGUACACUGAUUUUGACCUAUAAAGCUGUUAACUAGAACCAA